AGAUGGAUUAGUGGCGCACGGGUGAGUAAUGCAUAGAUAACAUGCCUCAUAGUCUAGGAUAGCCACUGGAAACGGUGAUUAAUACUGGAUACUCCCUACGGGGGAAAGUUUUUCGCUAUGAGAUUGGUCUAUGUCCUAUCAGCUUGUUGGUGAGGUAAUGGCUCACCAAGGCUAUGACGGGUAUCCGGCCUGAGAGGGUGAACGGACACACUGGAACUGAGACACGGUCCAGACUCCUACGGGAGGCAGCAGUAGGGAAUAUUGCUCAAUGGGGGAAACCCUGAAGCAGCAACGCCGCGUGGAGGAUGAAGGUUUUCGGAUUGUAAACUCCUUUUGUUAGAGAAGAUA
rnacentral:rRNA from 1 species